CUUCUUUCUUUUCUUCUUUCCUUCUUCCACUCUUCUUUCCUAGCUUCACUCUUCUUUCCUUUCUUCUUUCCUUCUUCCACUCUUCUUUCCUUCUUCCAAUCUUUUUUCCUUCUUUCACUCUUCUUCCUUUCUUCUUUCCUUCUUUCUUUUCUUCUUUCAUUCUUCCACUCUUGUUUCCUUUCUUUCACUCUUCUUUCUUUUCUUCUUUCCUUCUUCCACUCUUCCUUCCUUCUUCCACUCUUCUUUACUUUCUUCCACUCUUCUUUCCUUCUUUUACUCUUCUUUCCUUUCUUCUUUGCUUCUUCACUCUUCUUUCUUUUCUUCUUCCUUUCUUAACUUUUGCAUUUCAUGCACUGGUAUUUCCUUCAGGAAAUGCAUUUUCUAGUUAUUAUUCUCUUUACCGACUUCUGCGCUUAAUUCAGCUCGAACCGCUUAACUUAAAAACUUCGUUCAAACUUUGGCGCGUAGGUCUUGUAAAGGACACUUAUGCUAUGUAUUUUUAAUUUUUCUAAACUUUAUACUUUUUUAAAUAUUAAAGAAAAACUAAUACAAUUUCUCCCAUUGACUUACAUUGGGCCAUUAUGACAUCAUAAUAGGGUCUUUAAACUGGC
ensembl:lncRNA